AGUUAAGACUGAAGUUGUGUUAUAAGAGCAAGAGUGGGAGUAAGGAGAGGAACUUCAAAGUAAAAAAAUAAUGCUAAAGUCUUGGGAAAACCAUGAACAAUUUCCUGAGUAUCCAGCCCACACUUUCCUGACAUGUGUAAAGCUGCAAAUUUCUCCUAUCAUUACAUGAUUGAGAAAAUACAAUAAGAAGGUGUAGGGAAAUAUGAAAUGGAUGAUUCAUGCUUUUGAGAUGUGCAUCUCUCAUUUCUGAUACAAGUGACUGGUUCCUCUGAAUUGCUCCCAGCAGCUUACACCAUUCUCUUUUAUGCAGGACCAAGAAGUGACCAAGACACUUUUAUCUUGUGUCAGCCUGCAAGUCUUCAUCUGAGAUGCUCUUCUUCCUUGUCUUGAUUACGACCCAGAAUUUGAACCUAAAUUGCAGAUUAGUGCACAAAGAUGGAUGUUGUCUUUGCUUUUUGAAUACCAAGAAACACCUGCUUUUUUUUUAGAGUUCAAAGCAGAACUCUUCAUUUCUGAAACACCUUUAAGUAUAACAGUAGGAGACCUCCUUUUCCCCAUUUGUAUUCCUAUUCUCUUUCUUAAAGAAAUUGUUCUGCAAUUUGCUUCACCAUGCCGGCACAAAUUUUUUGGAAGAAUGUUGAUAGCAUAACAACUUCAUGUUAGCAGGAUGUAUGCUAGCUCAGGUCCUGUGUGUCACAUUGUUCUGACUUCACAUUAAUUCAGGAAUUGCACUGCCAUUACAAAACCAAAACCAAAAUAAAAGCAAAAGGCCUGUAGAAGUUGUGUAUCAUGAAUGUUCUUGUGUGUCCAUGUCUCUAAUCCAGAUCAAAUGUAUUGUGCUAGGUGACCUGGCAUUUCCCACAUUUGGUACUAAUGACCGUUUAAAUAAAGCUUGAGGAAAACUUCUUUAUCAGACUUAUUUGAUAUUUUUCUUAAAAUCAGAAUCCUUCAUUGUAGGUUUCUUGGGAUCUGAGGAUGGCAGUUAUUCUAACCAGCUGUGAGGACGGAUACUUACAGUAAAAAAUUCACAUCAAAUGAGUAGAUUUUUUUGAGGUCUGGAAAUACUUUGAGUCCAGUAUUGAAAAUACCACUAAAAGAAAGGAGAAACAGAAAAAAUUACAUGUACUGGAUCACUGAACAACAACAAAAAAUGUAUUUAAAGUGUUUGACAAUGUGGGAUGGUUAUUUCAUCCUCUCUAUUGUCAAUUGAUUAAUUUAUAAUCAACUGUCCAAAAUAAAAGAAUGCAAGAACAAUUGAAAAAAUUCAAAAUAACAGAUUUAUGAUAAAUUAUAGAAUCUAAAAAAUGGGAACACAGACUAAUAAGACAGCUAAGCAGAUCUGCAGAGGGAAGUAGCUUGUGAGGUUUCACUUGAGAGUUUAAGGCUGCUUCUGCUAAUAGUCUGGACCCCCAAAUCCUCUAUCUUUCAUUGUGGUUAAGAGCUGAUCAUAUAGCUCUAAAAAGGGAAACUGUCUUAAAAUGUGAAUAUGCUUAAUGCUCCUUCUUUCUCAACUCCUGUAUAGUGGAAAUAACUUAAGAAAGUAUAGUUCUCUAUCUUUAAAACUAUUUUCCUGAAAUGAAAUUUUUUUACUACUUUCUUUUUUUGUUGCUUUCAUAUCUAUAGGAGAAACCUGGAAAAAUCUUUCCUCCUUGCCCCAGCCCCCACCAGACGCAGAGAGAACCCUUCCUAGUGUCUUCCAAACAUUACUCAAAAUCAGAGAAGUUUCUUUAGAGAUUCAUGGGAAUUUUUCACAAUUUCUUUCUGCCUUAGAUGUUGUAUGAAAUCAGGUGUAUAUAGGUGGGCUUUUCACAUUUGACUGACAGGUUUGCUUUAAAAUCCUGUGUAAAUAUCUAACAAAAAGAUAAGUAUAUAUCUGUUGUGUCCCUUCUUCCCACUAUUCCCUACAAAAAUAGAGAAUGACAGCACUUAUCAUAAGAAGAAACUAGCUGUGGAAUUUUGCCAAGGAACAUUAUUGUGUUCUAGAUAUUUAAUCAAUAAGACAAAUGGGAAAAUUACUGAUGAAUUUUUGAAUGUUUUCCUUUCUUACAAAAGUAGUAAAAAUUCCAACCCAUACCUUAUCUGGCUUUCUGUCAUUAAAAUAAAGCAACAGGGAAAAACAUGGCAAUCAGUUCCGAAAUGAAAUGUAAAGAAACAAAACUGCUAUAAUGUAAGGAGUCAUCUGUGAGAUUUAAGUGCCAACUUGUUACAGGUGCUAAAUACUUACAGGUAUUUCAAAACUGGGAGGUUCUUAAACGCAUCUGGAUCUAUGUAAUCCAAGUUUCUAAGAUUUCGAAUUUCACUGUAAAAAAGAGAGGAACAUUAAUAAUUAAUAUUUAAUUACUUAUCCCAACAGAAAUCAGAAAUGUUAAAAUGAAUUUUCAGGGACUUAACUCAUGCAACAAGCUUUUUGUACUAGCCAGUGCUAGCCCAAGACCACUAUGCAUUCUGAACAAUCUUACAGUGAUGCAUUAUCAUCUGGAUAGAUGCCAUCCUGGAGACUGGCUACUUGAAGCAAGGGGGUAAGAAGCACCUGAGAUUUGAUUAUGGAUCUUUUGUCUACAUGGUCCUAAAAUCAAAACAAGUACCCUGUGUUAAUGGCUAUUACUUUGAACAUGGUGAGUGUUUUGUGACUGCAAAGUUGAGUAAAAAGAAAAGUUAAGUAAAACUUUCAGUAUUUAUAUAUAAUAAUCCUAUCAAAUUACAAUGACCUGUAUAGCUUAUAAUUUUAUGUUCUAUUUUUCUGGUUACUUUCUUCAUGUGUCUAACAGUAUUUUGUAUUAUAUUUCCUGUUUCUUCUUCAGAACUCAUCAAAAGAUGGCUCAGGUCACUUAAAUUAACUUUGUUCUGAGACUUGAAAUGCACACACUAUUCACUGUAUAGCCAUGUCCAGCAGUUUAGAGGAUAGUGUACCUCUGCUGUAUAAUGACACAAAACAUAACAUGGGCUUCAUUCCUUACACCUUCUGCCCAUGGUUAUGUCUUUAAAUACUUCUACCCAGGCAACAGCUUCGUGUACAAGUAGCUUUUUAGUCUGCACAUGUUAAAAAACCAGUCUGACACUAAUCACAGCUAUGGCCACGAUGGGUGCUUUCUGUAGGUGUUUAGAUGGGGCUGCUGCCCCUCCAGCUAUCAUGGUCAUUGCCUGGAGUCAUGACUCUUCCCCGUUUCUCUGAAAUGUUUGUCUCUUCCCUUAAUGUAAUUUCCCUCAAUCUUUCUAAUUCCUCUGUUUUCUAGUGGAUUUCUUUCUUUUCUAUGCCCAAUGGCGGUUAGCAGUCUGCCUGCACCAAUCAGACUGUGCCAAAAUUCCCUGUCUAGACUCAGUAGAGCUACUGAAUUUUCAUCUUUUAUUAAAAAAGUCACACAUACCCUCACCCAUCGCAUGCAGACUUUUAAUUUCCUGGUCUCUUUACUGUCUCCAGAAGAAUAUAGACAUUUAUGCAUAUUUUUUCUUUAUCUUAAACCAGCUCUGGACGCUGGUCUCAUAACACUGCUGGAACAACACUCAGCCUUUUUUAAUUUAGAAACCAUACAGAAAGAAUGGUGCCAGUCUUCUUCCUGAUGCUAGCAGUGGAGCAAUAGGCUAAAGAAAGCACUUUGGCCUACAUAUAUAUAGAAAUUUGAUGAAGAUGACAGGUAAAGAUGGCAUAGUGGUGCAGGUGAUGUGGAUGAUGUUCUGGUCUUAAGUCAGUCCAAGAAGUGCUACCACUGGACAGAAACUCAGUAGGCAGAAACCAGUAGUAUUUAAUUUGCCAUGGCCUAACAGUGCCAAGUAAUCUACACAAUAUAAGAAUCAGAAAAUCAGAGUUUAAGGCUAACUGCCACUGGAAUUAUUUUUACAGGAUAAAAUCAACCCAGACAAGUUGUCUAAGAAAUCAAAGUGGGAAAAGAGACAGAAGACAGUAGGUAAAAUAGUAUGUAGAUACCAGUACGAAGACUUCAACCUCUCUAUAUACUGUUGUAUUGACAAAACAGUCCUGCUCCACCUUCAAGUCUUCAGUUUUUAUUCUGUUUACUACAACACUGCAGGGAAAUGAGGAUUUACCUUUUACUUGCGUGUUAAACUGAUAUCAUUAAUAGCUAUAGUACUGCUACUAUAGUGCUGCAUUCAAAUAUUCAUGUCUGUUAGCUACCUUGAACUGUAGAUGUGUUUCUGUAUUUAAAAUAAAUCCUCUCAGUGUCAGUUCUUGCCUCUUUCAAAUUAUUUUAUUAGUUAUGUAGCUAUCACACUACCAGCAGUGGAACUUGCUCCAUAAACUUAAACUGACAUGUUUUUUCCAUCACUGACUGCCUUCAAAAUGUUGGACUCAUGAGCUUCCAGGCUGCUCUGUUGUGGACCAAACAUAUUCCAGGGAAAAGACAGUCUUUAGAUCAGCCUUCAGCCUGGAAGUGGAUAAUGCAUUGGAGUAUCACAGAGUCAUGAGGUUUUGGUUUGUUGCUAUUCAUACUAUUCUGCAUAAAUUAUUCGGAUGAGAGUACUGGAAGUAAGAAUUCGAAAUCUGCAGAUGGUACUAAAAUUGAAAGAGCAAAAUAAUGUAAUGAGAUACAGGUUUGGUUUAUUAAAUAACUGGGCCAUGAGAGGACGUGCUGUUUAAAAAAGGCAAAUGAAAACCUAAUUAAUCUGGGAAUAAAAUAUUUUAAACUGCCAGAUGAGACAGCACAGAGAGAAAAGCUUAAACCAUGUGAGCAAGGGAAUCAAUAUGAUUCAACUGAACACUGGGGAAAGGUUUAUGUCCCUGCUGUUCAAUUUAGUUGAAUUGGUAAUGCUAGGAUUAGAAAAGAAGUAUGCUUUAAUAUAUACUCUUUUUAUAGUUGCAUUUCAUCCUAUACUUUGUAAAGCUCAAAAGGAAGAAAAGGGCCCAUUGUGGAGCAGAUAGACAGUUGUGUAGAAGUCUCCAGUCAAAAUAAAUGAGAGAGAGGAUAAGAGAGAUAUAAAAAGGUAAAAGGUGAUUUGACAAAAGUGAAUGUUAUGGUUAAGGAAAAAAAAUGAAGAGGAAAAUCCAAUUUUCCCUACUUCUAGUCCAGUCAAAUGUGCCUCCUGCAUUUAACUGGCCUGAAUUUGUAGUCUCUCAUCUCAUCUGCAUGAAAAAGAGAAAGAUCUUCAGUUCCAUUCAUAAACUGUACUUCUGUCCUUGUAUUAAACAUUUAAACAUUGUUACUCUUAGAGUACUGGAAGAAAUUCCCCCGUAAAAUCACAGAUUUAAAGGAUAUCUAGUGCUCCACUGAUAAAGGAGCCUAUGAAGUUAAGCUGAUAAGGAGGAAAGAGAUUUGAAUUGUUCUGAGCUCAUCAGUUAACAGGAUACUGAUACACAAACUGAAUUUCACAAUUUCUUUUACAAUAGUCCAUCAUGAGUAAUAUACUCAAAGGUGCAUAAAUGUUAUGUGAUACUAUUUUUCAAAUUGUAAUCAAAAGACUCCUGUGGUGUAAAGAUUAAUCCCAAAGGAUCCAUAAAGCUAAGAAGAGCAAGUUGAUUAUCAGUAAAUUCGUUAAGCAGGGUUUGCACUAUCAUUUAGCUUUUAUGGAUUGGUGAGUUGAAAAGAUUGAAACUCACUAAAUUAAAAAGUUAAGGUUCUUUGAAAAGCAGCUCUAGAAAAACUAUUAAUAGACUUAGCUGCCUAAAAUGCAGAUAAAGCCAAAGAGUAUACUUAAAAAUGUCUAGUAAGCUAGUUCCCAGAUAUCUAAGUGUCUAUGAGAACUGAUUUUAAAUGACUUUUGAAAUGCAACUUUGACACACUCUACAAACACAUCUUAAUCAUAGCAUACAGCAAUGUAACAAUUCUGAGUCCUUCUGGGAAUUAAGUGCUUUUAAGAUAUUAAAAAAAUCUGAGACAGUUAGUAGGCAUCUUUGUUCACCAUUGACGCAAGAAGGCAAAAGGUGCCCUGAACAAACAUUGGACUUUGCAGUCCUAACCAAAAUUACUUACAGAUGCUCAUAAGAAAGAAAGAGGCUGCUACCUACCCACAGGAUAACAGAAUUAUUGUGGAAUACUUACAAAAUUUUUCAAAGUUACUUUACAAACUACUCAACUUCUGCUCUAUUUUUAGAAGUGCAUAAACCAUUUAAAACUGGCUUAUUUGUCCUUUAAAGACAAUUGAUGUUUUACAGUUGAUGUUCUGGCAUUCAGACUAGGAAUUAAAAAUGUACUAAGUUCACAAUCAAACCACCACGUGACUGUCCAUGAACAGCAUCUCAGUUUUGCUUUUUAAAGAAAAUACACAAAAAACUUUAUCAUGUCAAGAACAGAUAUGCAGAGAAAGUCACUUAAUGAUAUAAAGACAUAUGUCAAGACUUACAAAUAAUUAUGGACUGAUGUUCAGUUACAGAGAUAUAACUAUUUAGUUCCAAAUCCAGAAGAAUCUAAAAAUGAAACUAAUAAUAACUAUUCAAAUAUUAGUCUAAUUAAUUAAUUGAGACAUAUGUUUUCCAGGUAACUUCUAGAAAUAUUAAUAUGCUACUUAACAUUCUAUAUGAAUUUAGUAACAUUAAAAAAAGCACAAAUAUUUAUAUAUUUAAGUGGAUUCCAAGUUUCGUUUACCAGAUCUGUUUUUCAUAUCUGCCUUGCAAUAUCGACUCAUCCUUGAGUUUGUUUAAGCCCAGUAUUCAGAAAUUACAAAUCUGGCCAUCAUGGCUAGGCUUCACGAACGAAGAUUUGGUAAGGACUCUACCUACAUUUGCUACAAGUGCACUGGUGGCUAAAGAGGCCAAUGCGAGAUAGACAAGACCGGUUGCAAAAGGCACAGCAGAAAGGCUCCUUGGAUGGUAAAAUCUGGCCAUAGAGUAGCAAUAUAAUCAUGUUAUGCUGAGAUACCUAGAAAGACUAAGGAUAUCCAGGUCAGAAAUUCUGAAGUGUUUUAAAUAAGCUCUUUUCUUCUCUCUUGUAAUAACUUGGGGCCCCUCUCUACCAUCUUAGACUUAUUUUGCCUAUAGCUUCCUUGGCUUCUCUCACUUCUACAUCUACUUCCAGGUUUUAUUCUCCCCCUACAGACAAACUAUUUAUGUUAUUUCAUCUGCAUGCACCUGUCCAGCCUUUGCACCACUGGCACCAGAAAACGGGCUUAGGCUAUUCCAACAGUCUAUUCCCUCCCUCCAGACUGCAGAUUUAAACAAGAUUUUUCUGCACAGCACUUAUCCCUGUGCCCUGAAAUUCACUCCAGUGCUGUAUCCCACGGCCUGGCAUCACAAGCUGUCCAAGGGAAGUGCAAUCCCAGCCCAGAGGAUGGUGAGGCUGCCCUGGCUCUUGGCUCCAUCUCACUGCAGCUCAUUGCAGAGCUGGAGAGUGGUCCCCCACCAGCUCUCCAAAUGACGUCAUAUACGUGAGGGCAAGCCACUUGAACCAUAACCUUUGUGCCUCUUCCCAAAUGCUGAGAGAGCUUUUUAUGUUGUUGUAUAAGAGGAGAAUACUUUUCAAGUGAGGAUAAGAGAGUAGGGAGAGAUCAGAGGAGAGUGAGCAGAGAUACAGAGAAGAGAGGAAAAGAAAGAGUGAAUUUUUCUGGAGUUCCUUUCACAGGAAUGUUUCCCUGAGAAAUAAAGACCUAAUUACAAAACGUUUUUAUUUAGUGUGAUGCUAUCAAGCUGCAGCUCUACUAGUAAAACAGCCACACAGAAAUACUGACUGCUAAUCAGACACUUUCCCAAUUUCAUCUAGAAAAAAUAAAUACUUAUGUAAUUGUAUGGGAAAGACAGUUCUGAAUUUGUAAGCAGGUUAAGUUUGACUUACAGACAUACUUAAGAAACAAGAAACCAUUGUGAGACCAAUUUAACACAGUUGGG